rnacentral:miRNA from 1 species
UGGCAAGAUGCUGGCAUAGCC